CCUACGGGCGGCAGCAGUGAGGAAUAUUGGUCAAUGGGAGGAAUCCUGAACCAGCCAUGCCGCGUGCAGGACGACGGCCCUACGAGCUGUAAACUGCUUUUGUACCGGGGUAAAAUGCCUUACGUGCAGGGUUUCGAAAGUACGGUACGAUUAAGGAUCGGCUAACGUCGUGCCAGCAGCCGCGGUAAUACGGAGGGUCCGAGCGUUAUCCGGAUACAUUGGGUUUAAAGGGUGCGUAGGUUGUUUUACAAGUUAGCGGUGAAGUAGCGAUGCUCAACAUCGGGGCUGCCGCGAAUACUGUAGGACUAGAGAUCGGAUGCAGCAGGCGGAAUGUGUAGUGUAGCGGUGAAAUGCGUAGAUAUUACACAGAACACCGAUUGCGAAGGCAGCUGGCUAGGCCGGAUCUGACACUGAUGCACGAAAGCGUGGGGAUCGAACAGGAUUAGAUACCCCGGUAGUC
rnacentral:rRNA from 1 species